rnacentral:lncRNA from 10 species
AGAAGAUGCCAGCUUGCAAGAGAGCCCAGUCUGUCUUCCUAACCCAGUGGGCCUGAUGAAGGAAGCUGAAGAAGGACCACAGAAAUGUGGGUCAGUUUCAUACACUGAUUGUGAUUCUGUCCCUGUCUACGCCUUGGAAACUCACAGUCAAUCCACAUCCCUGGAAAAGGUGGGGCACAGGAAGAGAGUGAGAGGGGGAGUUUCUACACCUCCUACAGGGAUACAACAGUGAGCAUGGUGGGCAUGGUCCCUGUUUUCAGGGAGCUUACAGUCCAGCAGGGGCGAUCGUCACGGACAUGAUUUUGUUAUUGCAAGGGCCACCUCAAUUGCCCCACUUUGGGGAACUGCUGUACCCUCACUCCAAUCAUGGCAUUCUAGUGGACUCUCUAGUCACUGUACCCCACCCUGUGGCCACACGGGUAAUCAAGGGAUGGGGGAAGAGACCGUGGAGCUGCCUUCAUUUCCAGAGCUGCAAUGUUGCCAGUUGGAUUGCUGGUGACCAUCUUCCCUAACAUGGAGAACAUUCAUCUACAGUAACAGAAAAGAAAAGAAACAGAGAAGAAUUCAGGGACAAAAAGAGAUGAGACAAUAUCAUCUGAAUUCCUCCAUCCAGUCUGCUUCUGGGCCCAACCACCUCCAGGUGAAAGACUGACUCCGUUCUUUAUUUCACAAGCUUUUACUGAGCUCCCAGUGCAGGAAGGAGAAUGCAGAAGAGUAAGGUAGUGUCACUGUCCUUGGGGGAGUGAUUGUGCUGUGACAGACAUAUGUACAUGUGCAUGGAUGCAGAUACACAUAUGCACACACUCAUGGGGGUAACACAUGGGGCACAAAAGCAAAAGUGUGCAACUCUCAUCUGGGCAAACAUCUGGGAGGCGGUGGCUCCACAAAGACUUCAUGGAGUUGGUGGCCCCAGAGGAGUCUUGAAGCUCCAUUGGCAAGAGCAAUCCUCAAUGGGCCUGCCCUUCCAAGUAAGAGCCUAGGUUUCCAAAGCUGCUUAGUUGGAAAUCCUUUGUGGACCUGUUGCUAAGAAUAAGCCCUUGUCACAUGAGCACACUGCUGAGCUGAAGGCCUUCUCUCAGAGGUGGCACAAUACUGGAAGGGAACCAUCGAAUGCGGAUGCCCUGAGCUGUCACCCCCACAGAUUCCCAUUGUGUCCCAUCAUUUCCUCCGGAAGUUUCAAUGUUGGAAGGCCGACCUGACCUACCUCUUCAGGUUGAACAAAUGGCCCAAUUAUCUGUGUACGAUCUCAGAUUGUCUUGAGCUGAAUGGAUGGGAAUGGGGGGGCGGCUGUCUUGAAAAGAAAAUGCCAGAGGGAGUCCAGCCAUCCGCAAGCUGUUAGCUGGAGCCGAUUGCCCACAAAGGAUCCCUUUGUUAUUCCAGGAGGUGUUGUCACAAGAGCUUGGCCACAGCUCUCGAAGCACAUCCAGGAACAGUUCUAGUGAGAGCGUUGGCAGGGAGCUCUGUCUGGUGGCCUGGAACAGAUUCUAAUCUUGAGGAGACUGGGAGGGGUAACACCCGCCAACCUGCUUAGCACCACCUGCCCGGGAGCUGGCCGUCCCAUGGGCAGUGACCAGGGAGCAUGGCCAGCACUCCGCAGUGAUGGGGCCAGAGCUUCUCAAGGAAAGGGCUUGUGAGUUUCUGGCUAGCUUCUUCUCUGAAAGCUUCCAGGGGCUCCUGCUUCCAUCUUAAACAACUGUGGGACAAUAGCAGAAACAAUGGCAAGUGUUCCCCUGUGGUUUGUAUAACAGGCUCUCCAUCAUUCAGUCUUCCCCACGUUGGCCACAGCAGAGUAUCUGUGGAUAGGAAAUUGAUGUGAAUUCCCACCCUCCUACAGUAGGUGGCCAUAUAAAUUAUCUUUCAAGCCUGAACACCUUGAAGAGUCAAAGGUGGUGCUAUUAAUAAUUACACUGGGACAACUGGCCUGAAUUGGGACCACCUUGGGCAAAUCUAGGAGUUUGGGCUCCCUACUUAGUCCUUUAAACAAAAGGUCAAGACGAAAGGAUGAUGCCUUGAGGCAGAUUGUUGGUGGAGAUGGCCAAGAAACCUUUCCAAAGGCCUCUUUUGCUUCAUGUCUUUCACUCCAUGUUUUGCAACAGGAUGUUCUGAAUCAAUAUUGGCUCAGCUUUGCCUCAGUGACCUCCAUCCAGGCUUUGCCGAGGAUGUCACAGCCAAGAACAUGGUCUAGCUGUAGUUCUCUGUGCAACUAUUCUCCCAAAAGGUUGUUAGGGACUGUAUAAAGAAUAUAGGCUUGUGGCUGGGUGCAGUGGCUCAUGCCUGUAAUCCCAGCACUUUGGGAGGCCGAGGCAGACGGAUCACCUGAGAUCAGGAGUUUGAGACCGGCCUGGCCAACAUGGUGAAAUCCCAUCUCUACUAAAAAAAAAAAAAUACAAAAAUUAGCAGGGCAUGGUGGCGGGCACCUGUAAUCCCAGCUACUCUGGAGGCUGAGGCAGGAGAAUUGUUUGAACCCAGGAGACAGAGGUUGCAGUGAGCCGAGACCGUACCACUGCACUCCAGCCUGGGAGACAGAGCAAGACUCUGUCUCAAAAAAAAAAAAAAAAAAGAAUGUAGGCUUGUACAUGUGAAAUGUGGCUAUACUAAGUGUGAGUGAGGGCACAGAGCAACAGAAACUGGCACACGCUGGCAUGAGGGUAACCUGCAUGACAGACGGGAAAAGCACCAUACCCUCAGCCCAGUAACCACCCCGGGUGUACACCCUUGGGAAAGUCUCACACAUGUGCAGGAUAUCAGAACAAAAAUCGUUGUAGCAGCAUUAUCUAUAACAGUAAAAAACGGGAAGCAAG